AAAUGAAAAGAAUGAGAAUAGAAGAGGAAAGUAGUAAAGAUCAUUGGCGUUUCUCAUCUGUGGCAAGAACAUGACACGUGCAACUGCAACAACAUCACAAAGCACACCAUCACAAAAACUGGAAGUCCCCUCUCCCAAAUUCCCAGAAAUUUUCUUCGUAUUUUUGCUGCCGUUCUUUCCUGCUUUCACCUCCGCAGCUUUUGUAUAAAUGUCGUCGGAGCAACGCGAUCCUCUCACAAGGUGAAAUUAGAAAAAACCCCAAUUCGGAUCCUCCCGUUUGUCAAUCAGGAAAUAGAAAGAUGUUGAUGAUGGGAUGGAGCAUCCAGAGCUUACUGGAUUUGGCGGUGGCCGGAAUUUCAAUGAUGGUCGGCUUGGGGAUCUUUGCGCUUAUUGCUUCUAUCCUUUGCUCUGCCGCGUUCUUGCACACCGCCACCGCCAAGGACGUCUCCUCUUGAUCCACCCAUUACUUGAAAGGUAACCGUUCCCAAUUUCAAAUUGAGAUUCAGCUUCACUUCGGCCGCAUAAAUCUUGAUCUGGGUAUUCAUGAAUUGAUGCGAUCCAGGUUUUAUGUCCGUCGAGGUUACCGUAGCAUACAGAAGGAAUGACAUGGUUGGCACGAGUUAUGAUUCAAUUCAAAUGUAGCUCUGAUUAGUGGUUCUGGUUUUGAAGAUUUUGUAAUUUGUAUCCAUAACAAUUGCAGCGAGGUUGUUCAAUAAAAAGUCUCCUCCUUUGUUUGAAAAA